CAGUCGCCGCGGGAAUACGGAGGGUGCAAGCGUUAAUCGGAAUUACUGGGCGUAAAGCGUGCGUAGGUGGUGUUUUAAGUCCGUUGUGAAAGCCCUGGGCUCAACCUGGGAAUUGCAGUGGAUACUGGGUCACUAGAGUGUGGUAGAGGAUAGUGGAAUUUCCGGUGUAGCAGUGAGAUGCGUAGAGAUCGGAAGGAACAUCUGUGGCGAAGGCGACUAUCUGGGCCAACACUGACACUGAGGCACGAAAGCGUGGGGAGCAAACAGGAUUAGAGACCCGGGUAGUCCCUGUCUCUUAUAC
rnacentral:rRNA from 1 species